AACUUACCAGUUGCAAUGUACAGAGGAAGUGGCUGAUUUAUGUUAAUGAAGUUGAGGUAUAGCUGCUCUGGCUGGGAGCCGCCCUUCAUUCACCACAUGGUUUAGCCCAGAGUGGACUCGCGCCACUUUCGCAAUCUUACUACGCUUCAAAACUCGCUGCAAACCAAAAUAGUAGCACAUGGUUUUCUACUUUUUGUUCCCUUACGACUACUUUUUUUUCCUUCGCAGUUCUGCCGACAUCCCAGAAUUACUGCGAGUAAACGACCCUCCAGUUUACAUCAUGUCUCCAGGAUGCUCUGCUCAUUGUGGACUUGAAGGCGCCGCUCAGUAUGAAUGAAAAUGCCACAUGAACACUUUCAAGUCACUGUAGUGUCAAAGUGCUUACAGUGCAGGUAGUUUUCUAAAAAAUCUACUGCAGUGAAGGCACUUUCAGCACUGUUCUGAUAAUGUGAACCUGAAGGCGCCGGCUCAUUCACUCACACGCUGGCUCAUGCUUGUCAUGAAUGGACUGAAAGCAACUGCGCUGGUUAAAGCACAUCUGGGAGGACCUCAUCAUCUCGCUGUGAGGCUUCGCCUCCUGCUGUUCUGGAGCAGGAUUGUGUUUGUGAGGCAUCUUUUUAUUGUGAAAAAAGAAACAUUCUGGCUGUGUUUGUAUUGUUGAUUGUUGCUGACUUUGAUCUAAUUAUUGCCAUGAAACUCUUGAAUGCAAAUCGACUUCAGAUCAGUUGUUGACAAGCGCCUGCUCAACACCCUGCUUGCAUGUCUCCUCUAGUGCUUGUGCUAAGGUGCAUCUAGUGCAGAUAGUGAAAUAGACUAGCACCUACUGCCCUAAGUGCUCCUUCUGGCAUAAGGAGCUGAGACUUUCAUCUUCCUGCUAUGUGUUGAUGCACAGACUGUCAGUUCUCUGUUAGUUUUGCAUAGUUGCACUGCAAGAAGAGAUGCGUUGUGCAAAUCUAUGCAAAGCUGAUAGUGGCCUGUGUUUUCAUCCGAACAUUGUCUUCUCAGGUGGCGGUCAGUCUUCACCACAGAUUAAUCUCAGGUUUCAGUAGUAUUAAAGUGCUUAUAGUGCAGGUAGUUCUGUGCGUUUCUACUGCAGUGUGAGCACUUCAAGUACUUCUAGACUUCGUCUUCACGGGAAGCUGCAGAUGCUAGUUUGUGCAUGUGGGUCUCUGGUUAGUUUUGCUGGUUUGCUUUCAGCUUUUCAAUCUACUGCUGUGCAAAUCCAUGCAAAACUGAUCAUAGAACUGAAAUGAGUCGGUCAGAAGCGAGCCCUUUCUGUGCAGGUUGGGAGAGGUGGCAAUGCUCUGUGCUCUGGGUGGUAUUGCACUUGUCCCGGCCUGUUGAGGACAUGGGGACUGUUCUGCAUCUUAAAGGACUCCAGGAUUCACGGCGUCACAGAUCAGCGUCGGGUUUGCAUGGUGUGAAUGUGAGGGGCUUUCGGUCUCAAAUUUCUGAAACCUCAAAAGCUGUACAUUUUGCGUUUAAAUAAAUAUUU